CUUCACCGAACCCAGCCAGAGGGGAUGCUCCGGGUCCCGCUCCCGCCCGUACGUCGCAAGGAGCGCCUGCGCCUC
rfam:Streptomyces albus strain DSM 41398, complete genome.